AACAUCCCAGCAUCCCAAUGAUCCAGCCGAAGAGGAUGAUGGCCACCGCCAUUCCCAUAAAUCCUGCCGUCAUCCUCCGCAGAUCUGUGGGUGGCGAGAAAUAAGGCAACAUAUGACUCAGAGCUGACGUGCGUAUCGCUGGCAGAGACAGGCACGAGGGGCUGCCAGAUGGAUGCUGCGUUGCUGUACUCGCCCUGGCCUUAUUAUUUGGUGACCCAGAUUGUGGUUUAUCCCUCGCCGAACCCAAACCAAGCUGGAUUAACGGUGAGAUACACCAAAGCAAGUCAUUCAUACAGGCUUUUUAACUCCCUGAGGUGGACGGAUGGAGCCGGGGUUUGCUCUCUCAAACUGAGGAGAAGUGAGCACCUAGCAACAGCAGCAUGGCCGCCCGCCUAUUACAGCCCAGUGAGUUAAUGGCAGUUCCCUGAGGCGAGAGAGAAUUCCAUCUCCCUUCUCCGCGUGAGUAUUCUCAUUUUCCUCCUCCGUCUCUCCGGGUAAAAAUGGCAACAGGAUGCUGUGCUCUUGAUUUUUAUUUAGUCCACACCUUCUAGGAUCCUCAACCUCUACGCAGACAUCUAUCCCUCGCCGCAGACGUAGUGCAUGCCAUUAUUUGUGAUGCCGAUAUCGAUCCUCUGCUGUUUUCUUGUUCUCUGCUUGUCAGAUUGCCCUCUGGACAGCAGACCUUUGGGAAUGUGAAAAAAGCUGGAUGCUGAGUGUUUCACAUCCCUCAGUCCUCUGCUCAUCUGAGUGAUCCGCUCAUGGCCUGAGGCUGAGCCCAGACAUCAACUCUCCACCGUCUCCAUGUUCCAGAAGUUCAUCACACAUUUGUCACUCACCCUCAUUGCUCUGACUGGACACAUAGACAUUUGCAGAAAACCUGAAAUUGUUAUAUACGGGUUCUACUAAAAGAAUUUGUCAAUAGGUAAAAAAUUACAUAUAUUCUUUUUUAAAUCUUGUUCAAAAUGAUUUGUUGAGUGUUUUUCACCAACAAUUGGAAUAGAAUAGUAUAGAAUACAGCCAGUAGCUUAUUUAUGUUUUUAUUAUUAUU